AGGAGUGAUCAUACCAAAACUAAUGUACUAAAUCCCAUCUGAACUCCGAAGUUAAGCGCGCUUGGGCAAGAAUAGUACGAAGAUGGGCUUGUCACACGACUU
rnacentral:rRNA from 1 species